AUGGUCAUGGGUGGCCGGCCGUGGGUUUCCCCAAGUGUGGUGGUGGCGGCGGUGGAGAUGGCUGUGCCGGAGGCUGCGGAUUCUUUCUGGGUGCAUCGUUUUUGGCUGGCGGACUUUCUUCUGGUUUUUGGCUCCCGGCUGGCACAUGAUGCUGUCGUAAAUGCCGACGAGGUGCAAGGCCGUGGUUUCUCCCUGAGGUUCUGGCCGUGGAAUAGGCAAUUGCAGGCCGUCCGUCGGCAAUUUCACUACAGAGUUCGCAUCAACAUGGAAGGUGUCCCCCCGCAUAUGUGGAGUCAUUCGACAUCUCAGUUCGUGCUCGACUCGUCGGGCUAG
rnacentral:rRNA from 1 species